rnacentral:sRNA from 1 species
AAUGAUAGUUAAUUUUGCAGGGAGUAUCACCACAUCCGUCUUCAAGAACUCCUAGAUCCAAAAAUCCAGACGCUUGUCAUGAUGGUUUAAUCAUAUCUUCCACCCUUACACUUUUCGAAGGUUGGUAAUGCUUGUACCAUAUUCAUGACAGGUAAUUUUACAAUGGUAUCCACAAUCAUAUUUAGAAAGGGUGUUAAUGAGAAUUAGAUUUAGAUUGAGUUGAUUGAUUUAAAAAGUUGAUAGAUUUGUGAAAAUUUCAAAAGUCUUGUUAAAUUUGCAGGGAGUAUCACCACAUUCUGUCUUCAAGAACUCUUAGAUCCAAAAAUCCAGACGCUUGUUAUGAUGGUUUAAUCAUAUCUUCCACCUUUACACUUUUCAAAGAUUGGUAAUGCUUCUACCACAUUUAUGACAGGUAAUUCUACAAUUGUAUCCACAUUCAUA